CUCUGAUUAUCGUCUGCCUGCCUCAUGCAGUCGAGCGGAAACGAAGAAGAACUUGUUCUUCUGGCGUCGAGCGGCGGACGGGUGAGUAAUGCUUGGGAAUAUGCCUUAAGGUGGGGGACAACAGUUGGAAACGACUGCUAAUACCGCAUAAUGUCUACGGACCAAAGGAGGGGAUCUUCGGACCUUUCGCCUUUAGAUUAGCCCAAGUGAGAUUAGCUAGUUGGUAGGGUAAUGGCCUACCAAGGCGACGAUCUCUAGCUGGUUUGAGAGGAUGAUCAGCCACACUGGGACUGAGACACGGCCCAGACUCCUACGGGAGGCAGCAGUGGGGAAUAUUGCACAAUGGGGGAAACCCUGAUGCAGCCAUGCCGCGUGUGUGAAGAAGGCCUUCGGGUUGUAAAGCACUUUCAGCGAGGAGGAAAGGGUAGUAGUUAAUAACUGCUAUCUGUGACGUUACUCGCAGAAGAAGCACCGGCUAACUCCGUGCCAGCAGCCGCGGUAAUACGGAGGGUGCGAGCGUUAAUCGGAAUUACUGGGCGUAAAGCGUGCGUAGGCGGUUGUAUAAGCGAGAUGUGAAAGCCCCGGGCUUAACCUGGGAACUGCAUUUCGAACUGUACGACUAGAGUUUUGUAGAGGGUGGUGGAAUUUCCAGUGUAGCGGUGAAA
rnacentral:rRNA from 1 species